AUUGAACGCUGGCGGCGUGCCUAACACAUGCAAGUCGAGCGGUAACAGGUGUAGCAAUACAUGCUGACGAGCGGCGAACGGGUGAGUAAUGCUUCGGAAUCUGCCCAUGUAGUGGGGAAUAACCAGCCGAAAGGUUGGCUAAUACCGCAUACGACCUUUGCCCACAAGGCAAAGGUGAAAGCAGGGGAUCGCAAGACCUUGCGCUAUUGGAUGAGCCGAAGUCGGAUUAGCUAGUUGGUAGGGUAACGGCCUACCAAGGCGACGAUCCGUAGCUGGUCUGAGAGGACGACCAGCCACACUGGGACUGAGACACGGCCCAGACUCCUACGGGAGGCAGCAGUGGGAAUAUUGGACAA
rnacentral:rRNA from 1 species